rnacentral:rRNA from 1 species
GACAGAGGGUGCAAACGUUUGUUCGGAAUUACUGGGCGUAAAGCGCGUGUAGGCGGCCCGGAAAGUCGGAUGUGAAAGCCCUGGGCUUAACCCAGGAAGUGCAUUCGAAACUCCCGGGCUUGAGUUCUGGAGAGGAAGGCGGAAUUCUCGGUGUAGAGGUGAAAUUCGUAGAUAUCGAGAGGAACACCGGUGGCGAAGGCGGCCUUCUGGACAGUGACUGACGCUGAGACGCGAAAGCUAGGGGAGCAAACGGG